UCCCUUAGAUGUUCUGGGCCGCACACGCGCUACACUGGCAGGUUCAUCGAGCUUCAUGCCCUGAUCUGAGAAGAACGGGAAAUCUUUGAACACCUGCCGUGCUUGGGAUAGAUGUUUGCAAUUAUUCAUCUUCAACGAGGAUUGCCUUGUAAGCGCACGUCAUCAGCGUGCAUUGAAUACGACCCUGUAUUCUGUACACACCGCCCGUCGCUCCUACCGAUUGAAGUUUUCGGUGAAUUUACUGGAGAUCCCUUUUGAAGGUGGUUCGCCACUGGAAGAAGUAUUCAAAAGUAAAUGAAUCGAAUGCUUUAGAGGAAGGAGAAGUCGUAACA
rnacentral:rRNA from 1 species